AAGCUUAGGUUAAUCUAAACCAAGGGCCUUCAAAGUCCUAAAUAGGGAUUUAACCCCCUAGCUUCU
rnacentral:tRNA from 1 species